rnacentral:rRNA from 1 species
UACAGAGGUCUCAAGCGUUGUUCGGAUUCAUUGGGCGUAAAGGGUGCGUAGGUGGUGAUGCAAGUCUGGUGUGAAAUCUCGGAGCUCAACUCCGAAAUUGCACCGGAUACUGCGUGACUCGAGGACUGUAGAGGAGAUCGGAAUUCACGGUGUAGCAGUGAAAUGCGUAGAUAUCGUGAGGAAGACCAGUGGCGAAGGCGGAUCUCUGGACAGCUCCUGACGCUGAGGCGCGAAGGCUAGGGGAGCAAACGGG